AGUCCCAUGGGAUCGCGCUUAGGAAUGCACUGCUGCUACUGCUGCUGCUGCUGCUGGUGGCCUUGACCCGAACACAGGAUGGCCAGGAGCCAGGCAAUGGCCGGGACAGGGUGGGGCGAUGCAUUUGCCAGUGCAGAGCCUUCAGUCACUGAGCUGAAACUGAAACGAGCUGCAGAGCCGGGCGUUAGCCGAGUGGCGCAGCACUGCGGGACGAGGUGCCACCAUGGAGCUGGGGAACAUCUCGCAGCCCGCGUACGGCCCCGGCCUCGAGGAGCCGAGCAGCAGCAUGCUGGGGCUGGUCCGCAUGCUGCACGGCUUCCUGCGCCUGGUGCAGC
rnacentral:lncRNA from 1 species